UGGGGAAUCUUGGACAAUGGGCGCAAGCCUGAUCCAGCCAUGCCGCGUGAGUGAUGAAGGCCUUAGGGUUGUAAAGCUCUUUUGUCGGGGACGAUAAUGACGGUACCCGAAGAAUAAGCUCCGGCUAACUUCGUGCCAGCAGCCGCGGUAAUACGAAGGGAGCUAGCGUUGUUCGGAAUCACUGGGCGUAAAGCGCACGUAGGCGGAUUUGUUAGUGAGGGGUGAAAUCCCGGGGCUCAACCUCGGAACU
rnacentral:rRNA from 1 species